AGAAAUUUUCAUGAGAUAAAUAUACAUACCAGACUUAAUUCAUUCAACAAAUAUUUACUGAGUACCUGCAAGGUACCAAAAACUAUUCUAGGUGCUAGAAUUCUAGGUUGCUAGGAACCAAGCAAAGUCCAAAACAAAGUUACUGGCCCUAAUGAAGCAUAAUAUUGUAGAAGGAGCAACUGACAAGUUAAGGAAGUAAAAAAUAAAUAAAUAAAUAUCUUGUAUGCUAUACAGGACAAGCGCUAAGAAGGAAAGCAUGGCAGAGAAGAGAGACAGGAACUGUGCAUGUUGGUAGAGGAAAAGCCAGAACCUAGAUGGAUUCUGAAAGGAACACAGAUGAGUCAAAUAGAUGAAAGGUGCAUAGCUGGUUUUCCUCUACUGGAAUUGGUGCUUCGAUAUGGCUUAAUAGUCAGAAAUAAAGAUCAUAAUUUCAGAACAGCAACAAAGGUCUUCAAUUCAACUUAAGUCUGUGUUCCACGUUAUUCCCUCCUUUUACACAGAGCUGCCGGAAUGUACUCGAGGAAUGCCCACUCACAGUAAGCUCAGCUUAAGCAAAGUAUAAUUAAGGAAUCAAAUCUGGAAGAAUAACAGCUAAUAUCUAUUGAACGCUUACUCUGUGCCAAUCACUGUUCCAAGGGCUAGGUAUAUGUAUAUUUAAUUUAUAUAAAUAAAACUGAUUUUUAUCUGCACAGCAAUUUUACGAAGUAAGUACUAUUAUUCACAAUUUAUGAACAUAAUGAAUGAACAAAGUGGAAAGUUAAACUACUUGUUUGAGGUCACUCAGUUAGCAAGUGGCUGUACCUAGAACACAAACCCCUGGUAUCUGACAUCUCGAGGCAAGCUUUGAACCACUGUAGCAUGUCAUUCUGCUUCCACUGCCAGAACAAAGGAAAUCCAUAUAUAAUGAAUCUCACAGUAAAAUAAGGAUGACUCAGAAUCAUACAAUGUUAGGACUUGAAAUGACUUCAGAAAUCUUGUCACAUACCCUGAUCUUAAAGACCCAGAACAAACGGCCCAAAGCCAGAUGUCAAGCAUUCUGAUUCGCAAGCUAGACUUUUUCCCACACGGUGUGCUGUGUUAGCCGUUGUUCGUGACUAUAUUUCUAGACCUAUUGAUCACAUCUUUGCUUAAAGAGCACAGAUAAACAAAAUUCCUGGCGGGGAGUGCCUGGCCUCUAGUACUUAGGAAGCCAGAUUUUCAUAGAAUGCACACUCAUAAAGACUGUAAACAUUACUGUGCUAAUCUGGCGGAUAGUUCCUCAAUUCUUCCAGCCCCACUGCUCCUAGUUACCUUAAAUAUCAAGGAUGAACACCUUCUGCUGAGCAGGAGCCCCCCAUUCAAACGCAUCUACUUAAGAGCAGAAUCAAGACAAUCAAGUUUCCAGGAGAAUCAACCUGACAAAGCCCAGUACCAAGGCUAUAUGUUCCUUGUACCAAGAACCACCCAACCAGGAAUUUACAGCUCUUCUCUGAAAGCAGCAGAGGACCACAGCCAAUCCCCGACACCAAGUCUGUUCACACCAUCUCUGGACUUCCUGGUUCCCCCGACCCAGCUACCCUGUUCCAAAGAAGGAAUAAGACCAGUGGACAACCAAUCAACUGAAAAAGCCAGCAUUAUUUACAAUAACCAAGAUGUGGAA
ensembl:lncRNA